UGGCACUGUCAGGAGAUAAUUUCUCAUGGUUGAAGAAAUCUUUUAUUCUGCAGGGAAGUGAAGUAACCUGGCAUUAUGGGCCUGUGCCAGAUUCCGACGCAGACAAUGGAGUGAUUUCAGAGGCCACUGAGUCUGGAAGGAAGAAUGACAACCCACAAUUGGCUCAAAUGAGUCCUCCCAUUGCUCACUGCUGAUGUAAUGCAGCAGAAAAGGGCUGCAGCUCCCCACUGUAAUAGCAUCUAUUCAGCAGGCUGCCUUUUUCUUGCGUGGGAUGGAGACCCCUGCACACAGGUGCCCUGUUUCCCAAAUCUGGGAGGAAGAAGUUCAGUUUGAAGACUCUAUCCCUUUGAAGACAGGUUAUUUGGAAUGCAAGAAUGAUGGAGCAAUGAGGGCAUGAGUAUUAACUUUGGAGAAGCAAGUCCUAUCCCUAUCUCAGCUCUUACUUCAUUUCAGGACUCCUGGGAAGGCUUUUUUGUUGUCUUGGUUCCCAAUCCGUGCAGCGUGUGUGGGAGCACGUUCUAUCUCUCUGUAGUGUUGUGAUGAUAACACAGGGGUGACUGUUCCAUGACUGGGUGCUCUGGUGGCAGGAAGGGGAAGGCCGUGCGUUUACCUCAGAUAUGUUACACCAGAAGAUGACACCACCCAGAAAAAAUGAAUUUUGUUCAUAGUUUUCAAAGACUGUGGACAGAAGGGUGUGGGGGGAGGCAUUUAGCCCCAGUUCUCAGAAGCAAUAUGCUUUUACUGGCAGCAUAUGAGGACCCAGACUUAGAUGUUUGUGUUAUGAAAAGGACUGCCAAGCAGGAGAACUGGCAGCUGAAUGUAUGCAAUGUCCUUCCUGUCUUGGCAGAAAUCUCAUCAACAGCACGAUGGAGCAGAUCAUGGUAGAGGUCUCUGAACCCUUGGAGAGGAUUCCUCUGCUCAACCAAAAGCAACUACAAACUAGACAUGAGUACUCUAGGUUCCCUUUGCAGGCCUUGAUGGGCUGCUUCAGAACGUGAUUUAUUAUAUCCUUACAUCCUAAAAGAGCGUUUAAGCCAGGGGAAUCGUGGGUUGGCUGCUGUGAAGAAUCAGUGCCUUGGCUGGCGCAGCCUGCCCAUGCUGCCAUUGCUACACAGCUGCUUCGACCCCUUCUUCUUCAGCUGCUGCUUUUCAUGGACUUUCACAAAAGAAAACUCAAGUGGAAGCUGCUAAAAGGCCCCAACCCAUCACACCACAGGCAUGUUUGGAACAUGAUCCUGAGUUGCAGGAGUUCCUGGAGAGAGAGGAGAGAUGGAUGUUCUGUUAGUCACGUCUGACCUGAAAGAGUCUGGCAGAUCCCUCUGCAAGCACUCUCCACAAGGAGAUAGCCCAAUCAGAAGAGUUCUUUGCAUGGGUAAGGAUCAAACUUCUGGAAAACAGAAUGACAGAGUCUUUUUCAUACCAGAUGAUGCUGUGUAAACACAAGGCUUGGUGGUUCAGCCAUAAGAAGAGACUUAUGCUUCUCACCUAAAGUGUUGGAUUGCCUUGUCCCAGAAUGGUUUCUGACAGCAUGAAAUAUUUACAUGCCACAGCCUGAUGCUUCUCACCAGGACCAGUCAGCUCAGCAGGCCUUCAAGAUGGAUCAGCUCCUUGAGGUAAAGCACAGAGAGUGCACCUGGCACUGCUCGCACCUCCGAUGUGACACUGACAACACCAUUGUCUCUUCAGACCAUUUGUCUACCCAAGUAUCAGUGGCAAAUUGGAAGUCACAAAUCUUGAUAUUUAGACAAGAAUAUCAGAGCACUGAUCCAGAUUGGUCUGAUUUCAUGAAUUCCAGGACUUGGGAGAUGAUUAGGACCUUACCAGCCCAGCUUCUGCUCCUACACCGUGUCUGUUAGCUUUUUGAACACCUGCUGCUACCUUUUUUGCCAACUUGCUCCAUGAUGUGUACAGAGAAAUGCCAACUGCAGCUGGGCAGGAGAGGCACCUCAUCCCUCUUUCAUUGAUUUUUCACUUAUGUCAUUUAUUCUUUGUAAUUACGUGACUUGAAACCUUGCUUGUGCAUUUGUUAGGGCUAUGUAAUCCUGUGGUUUCCUAUAACUUCAAUUUUCCUUUUUCAGUUCCUUCUGAUUGCUUGUUACAACCACCUUCUGCAAUUUUCCAUAAAUCAGAUGGCAAGGUUAGAAGGGGAGAGUGAUCAUUUCUGAUUUGAUCCUUUUUAGAUCAUUCCCAUAAUGCACAGAGCACCCACAGGCUUAGUCCCAGAGUCCCAUCAUGCAAAGUUGGGUUGAGAAAUCUUCCCUGCCACAGCACAGAGCAUUUUAGCAGCUGUUCUGCCUGAGCAGAAGCAGGAUGAGCAAGAAAUAAAAUUAUUGAGCAUUUUGUACUCAAUUCUUUGUCCCGUAAAUAUAAGACUUUCUUCUGUGUUGUGAAUAUUGUGUCGUAUUGUGUCAUGACCUUACAUAUUCUCAUGGAAGAGGCCAGCUCCAGCAAAUGGAGUAAGACAGCCUCAAGUCAGCCCUAAAUGUUGUAGCAAAUACUGAAAUGAUGCUGGGGAUUGAGGGUGGCACCUGAGUAUUGAAGACUCAACUGCAGAUUUUGUAGAGCAUCAGAAGGAGACAUGUACCCACUCUGUCUAAAGGAAACAUCUAGCUGUACUCUGAAUUUUAUUCACCUCUGAAACAGUCUUUAAAAGGUCAGAAUCCAUGUGUUCCGCAUGGUCAACAGAAAGAGGUAAGUGUCUUUGGGAAACUCCAGAGGAAGAUCCUUUCCACCUAAACUGGGUGCCUAAACUUAGUCAGGUUUUUUGACCAGAGAUCUCCACCAGCAGAUAGCUCCUGCUACAGGAAACCCAACCUAGAAUGGGGAAGAAUUGUACGAGGUUUUGGAAAUCUAUGGUGUAAUUUAGUUGCCCACAUUACCCCGACUAAACCUCAUCCAGACCUUCAAUAGUCCCAGGACUAAGGGCCAAUUCUGUCACAGGUAAUGACAAUUUACAGUCCCUCUUCCCAUCUGCAUUAUCUGCUUUAAACUCUGCUGCAGUGCAGCUGUACUGUGCUGUUAAUAUUUGAUGCUCGACACCCAUCAGAUGGCUGCAAAUCAGCAGUGGCUGGCUCCCACUGUUUUGUUAAUGAGGUCUGUUACAAUCCUUCCGGAUGAUUCUACAAACCACGAGAUCUGUUUUAUUAUUAUCUGUUAAUGAUUAUCUCAUAUCAUUAAGCUGUAUCUAGCUACAUUAAUUUUUAGUUAUGUAAUUGCUUCAUAUUUGUUCAGAGUGAAAAAUAAGAAAGCCAUCUUUAAUUAGGACUUGGAAACAGUGAUGGAUUCAAAUGAUUAACAGAACUAAUGAACAAAAUCUGAGUUUCUGCUGUUCCCUCUGUCAUAUUGCUAGGCAAAGUGUCACCACGGUGUUUGACCCUGAAUGCCUCAGUUUCUCUUUGAAAAAAUGCCUGCAUCUCCAGUGAUGUUGGGAAUCUUAAUUGGUUAAUACUUUCAACACACUUUUAGUUGCUCAGAUGAAAGACUUCCCUAAUGCAAAGUAUUACUACAUGCUAGGUUCAUGUCUGGAGCAAAUUUUUAAAACAAACCAUAUGAAAAGCUGAAUUAAGAAUGGAAAUGCUGAUCCAGCCAUUAAUUACUCCACAUCAGAGAGUGGGCAGAGGGUCUCCUUUUAUGUUGUUUAUUUCAAACAAACAACUCUGGGAAUCUCCUGUGGAAAUGAAACACACACACACAAAAAAAACCCAAAGCCCUUUCAUGGGUAUUUUUGGUUUAUCUCCACAUGAAUCUUAAAUUCGUCAUGUGGAGGGAAUGUGGAACGCAUUUUUUUCUCCUGUACACACACUCACUUUCCCACAAUGAACAAAAUCUAUUUUCCUGUGCCAUUUGUCUGCUUUUUCACCCCAGGGUAACAAAAUAAUGCAGAAAGUAGGAGCACCCCGUCUAUGAACCCUGCUGAAAAGCAAAUAAAUAAAUAUGAAUAAAUAAAUAAAUAAAUAAAUAGGAAAAGAGGGGUGGCUCGGAGGGUUCCCAGGAAUACCAGACGUGUUUAACACAGUGCAUACAGCACAUACCCCCGCAGCUCCUAAUUCCUCAGCUAUUGCUCAGCAGUGAGUCAGAAACUCAGGCUCGGCGGUGACUCACGCGGGGCCCCGAAAUGCCGCUGAGCUUCCAGCACACGUGUGUGCACCUCGCUCUUUCCCCAAUUUAAUUCUUAAAAAGAUUUUGCUGCUUGAGAUGUAACAUCUCAAGAGGAGUUAGCUGUCAGCAGAAGCCCUUCUCUGGCUGCAUGAAAAGCUUAGCUUCUCACAAUGAGUACUGAUUUAAACAUGUGCUGAAGGAGGCAGACAUCUUCCACAAAAGGUUUGUUCCCAUAACACUUGGAUACUCACUGCUCUGAACCCUUAUGAACUCUGCUAAUCAGGUACCAAAGGAGAGGAGGGUAUCUAAUAGCUGUUUGUGGCUGUGCUUGCACUCACAGCUCAGUUUCAGUGAAAUAUCCACUACCGCACAAUAUGAACAAACACCCCACCCACACACGGUUUCUAGAUUCAUGAUAUAACCCAAGGAAAUAUUUUGGUUUUAGCAGGUCUUCAGAUUUUAGAGAAGAUCUGUAAUUUGUGCAUGCACUUUGAACCUGGUGUGCCUCUGUAUUUUUUUCCUGUUACUCCCUUUAUUGCUGUCUGUAGUGAUGCUGGGAUACAGACAUAGUUACACAUCUAUUUAGAUGUGAGCUUUGGACAUGAAAUUACUUUGACAUCAGGUUGCUCUGUAAGAUUCCAAGGGAGUGUCUCCUCGCUGCAGUCCCUGCUGCUUGCAGAUCUCUCUGUGCUGUGAUGAAUUGCCUCUGCUCAGCCCUGGAGCAUGAGCUUGUUCAUCAGCAUUAUAUGUGCCACGAGGUGAUAACAGUGGUAGUCUGAGCUCUCUCAGGACAGACUUUUGGCUCGCUGCAUCCUUUCCUCUUAUUUUAUAACCAAUACAAAUUAGUUCAUUUUUGAAGGUUCGUUAUAGCGUCAACCAGCCAUUUCACACAAUGCACCAUUACAAUGAACUAGGCUUUUCCCAAGCAGUAGAUGGCAACUGAUAGAGUAUUAACUCUCCCAUGCGGCAUUUUUCAUGGGUUGAAAAUGCCUUUGCAAGCUUCCUAUGCUUCUGCAUGGCUCCGGCCUGUGCUGAUGUGCUGACAGCCUUUGCACGUUACAGCUAGAAAUGAUGGGCGUUCUUAUUUUGCCUACUCAUUUGUACACCCUCAUUUCAGUGUCAAAACCCCCCACUGUGGCUUAAAGAAGGUCUGUUUGCCAAAAAAUACCCUUGUCUGUUUGAUACAGUGUUAUGAUUGAUGUUUCUCUCCAUACUUUAGGAAAAAAAAAAAAAGUCUGACACACCAGCUCUGGCAGUGGGUGCUGCAGAAGUUCAGAUGUUAGCAGAGCCAGCUGUCCGCCCCCCUUGCCAAAAAUUAAUUUCCCAGAGCAGAGUCAGCAGAAGCGAACACACGCCCAGUCCCCAGCAGCUUCAGCGCAAAGCCCAGCUUCAGCUGGAACUUGUCUGGCCACAAAUUUUUAAUGAUAGGCAACAGUUCUGAUUAGAAAAUGAUCACAUUCAUUAAAAUUCCUUCACUCGAGUCCUACGGCUGGAUCAUGCAUGCAGACUGUAUGACAUAAAGUACGUUGCGCAAACUCUUAUCCCCUUCCUCUCAGCAGAGUAUUAUUUCUCAGCAGACUAUCUAAAUUAGUUGGCUUUUACCACUCUAAGAUCUCCUGCUCGCCUGUUAAAUGGCCUUUUUAAGUGUUAAUUUCCUAUUUUUGGCCCUUCUUGUCUCUGUAGUAAAUAUGCAUUUCUAAGUUCAAGUACUCUGGAAAAAUGCUUUGUGUCUGGAAUGAAAUAAUCAAGUCAGUGAUAUGUCUGUUAAAUUUCUGCUAGCGUAAACAAGAGGAACACUGAUCUCAAAAGAGCAAAGUGAUUUAUAUCAGUCAAAAAUACAGGCCUGCUGUCUUCAAAAAUGUUUGUCCUCAUUUAUUUUAAUAGGCAUAAGAGACUCAAAGUCUCCUAAAAUCAGACCCAAAGGCUUUUCGGAGGAUUAUCUCGGAGGUUACAGAACUGACUGAAGACUUGAUGGAAAGAUAAAAUUUUUGCAAACCUUUGCGUUGCCAAAAAAAAGGUGUUUAAUGAGAAAACCAGCAACAUUUUCUGCUUUAGCUAUAUACAUAGCAUGCUUUUAUGGUCCAUGAUUUAUGAAAGCUGAUGCUUUUUACUUUUAUCACUGCACAGGACACUGCAAAACAUGUAUGAGGACAUUAUGCACAGCUUUGUCAAGUGGCAGGAAGACAGCGCAGACUGGAAGUGCUGCUCCAGGUGCAGCAGCGUGCCAGUGGCCAGCUCCAGCUGUGCUUAUCGGCACUGCCGCUGACCUUUCAAGCCACUUCUCACUCUCAAUUUGUUUGCUCUCCUUAUCAGCCCUGAACCUUGCCAAUACAGCUCUAAGAGAAGUCUGUAGCAUGGAACGGGAUGCACAGAAGUGCAGGAAGAGGUUGGUGCCCUCUGUGACCUGGUUAUCUGUCAGGAAGUCAGUGCAGUCACUUUCCCCUUGCCACAGAGCUUACAGAAAGCAUACUUUCCGAUACAGAUAAUUUUACUAGGAGGUGGUGGUUGCAAUUCCCUUUAUAGCUACUGAUUGAUAAUUGCAGAGCUAAUGUAAUUAUACUGUAGCCAGUUGAGUUAGAGUGAAUUUCUAAAAGCGCCUUGUGCCAUACAGCCACCGGUUACUGAGAGCCUGAGAAAUCUCAAACAGAUGAAUUUUCCAUUCCUUACUCUUACUACAGCUCACAUUGGAGGCUCGUCUGUUAAGAAAGACACUUGCUGGGACCAGGGUGAGUAUAGAGUCAUACAUAAAUAUAGCACUUGGAAAACGUUCCACCUGACAUUAAUACAGCUUGUCUUCUAGGAAUGAGAUUCAAAACUGAGGGGAUGACAACUGCCCGCUCAUGGAGAGAAGGGUGAAGAUAUGCUCUGUGCACAGGCAUGUAACUUUCUUUAGGGUGUUUUCUCUUUUGUGGAACACAGGUUUACUUGGCUUUGCAGGUAUUUUUAUAAUGUUCAUUUAUAUAGAACCUAAAUUUUUUUAAUCUCACUAUGCAGUAUUAAAAAAUAGCAAUCUUUAAAACUCACCUUUUCACACUUAUAAGUAAAACUGUAAAAAUUACUUUGGCUAAGAAGGCAGUGAAUACGUUUAUGAAGUAUAAAUUAUCAUCCUUCAUUAAAAACUUGUCACCCUGUUUUGUCCCUUCAUCAUAUAGACUUGUGCUGCCCGAAAAGAUGCAAAAAUGUCAGUACAUGACCUAAAAUAAUUCAAGUGAUAAAGUCAAGUGCUAAUUGAAGUCCUGCACAAUCAAAAAAGACUGCUCAGGAACACAUUAUGCUUACAUCUGUGGCAAGUCACUCAUUGCUGAACCCUUCUUUGCCAAACUCUUUUGCAAAUGCUGUUAUGGUGGUAAAUAUUUUACUGGCUUAAAGUCAGAGGGGUAGGUUAAAACUCUUGUUAUUAUGAACUUGCUGCACAUCAGCUGUACGUGACAUGUUCCCAUGCCAUGGCAGAUGUGAGGUGUUCAGAAGUGGGUUAACCCAAGGGUCUGUAUGCUCGCCUCAGUCAGGCUCUAGGUAAUUAGGAUUGCUGUAGCAUAUUUUUUCACUUGUAAUUAAGCUGCCUCAAACUGUCUUCACAGCAGCAGCGAGUGAGGAUGUGCAUGGGUGAAUCAGCUGGCAUAGUAAUUUUACCCCUCAGUAACUUGUAUAACAGCUUUUGUUCAUGUGCCUGAGUCUUUGAUCGCCUUCUUGACUUCUUUUAUAUCACAAGGUGUUAUCAGGACAUCUCAUCAUUUCUGCGGGCUGCAAAGUCUCACUCAGCAUCUUUUUAAUGAAUCCAUAUUGUUAAUGCAAUCUUUCAAUGGCACGGAGUUUUCUUGCAAAAAUAAGGGUUGAGAUCAGACUUGUGGCACAUUACUACCUGGAAGGUCAGUUGGGCUUCUUCAGAUGACAGACUGACUUCUAAAGAAAAAGACUAUGCACCUACUAUCAAAAGCAGUACCAUCAUGGUAAAAAAGUCUCUCAUUGCUGAAGAAUAAUAUCAUGAGAAGCAUAUGUCAGGGAAAUAAACUACGACAAAAGGAGACCAGUGAUAGAUGACCAAGUGAACGCAAGACUGGCAGCCAAGACAUAUGGAUCCACUUCCCAGCUCCAUCACUGUCUGAGUAAAUGGCCAUGAACAAGAACCCUCUGCGUGUCCAUCUAUCUGUAGUGUCCAUGAAACAAUAUCGAGUUAGCACAAGGGCGUUCACCAUGUUCAUAUUCAAAAAAAAAAAAAAAAA